UACGUAGGCAGCGAGCGUUGUCCGGAAUUAUUGGGCGUAAAGAGCGUGUAGGCGGCCCGAUUAGUCCGCUGUGAAAGUCCAGGGCUCAACCCUGGAAUGCCGGUGGAUACUGUCGGGCUAGAGUCCGGAAGGGGCGAGUGGAAUUCCUGGUGUAGCGGUGAAAUGCGCAGAUAUCAGGAGGAACACCAAUGGCGAAGGCAGCUCGCUGGGACGUGACUGACGCUGAGACGCGAAAGCGUGGGGAGCAAACAGG
rnacentral:rRNA from 1 species